rnacentral:siRNA from 1 species
UACCACCGCUAAGCCCUUCCGGA